GUCAGAGUGGAAAAUGGCUUCAUCCAUCUCUGAGCCAGAGAACGAGGAAAAGAUAAAGCGUUUCCAGAAGGACAACGUGGAAGAGGCUGAGCUGGUUCACUUCCUCAAGGAUUACCCUUCCAAGGAGUACUUUCGCUUUGUGCCAUCGGAAGGCAUCCAAAGGGACGGAGGCGGUGGUCCUACGGAGCCCAAGAUGUUCUCCAGCGUGGUCUCUAGGACCAUCCCUGACGACGCCUUGGUUGAAAAAGAGCAGAGGUCCUUCCAUCGGCCGCAGCCCCUCGACUUGCAACAGCAACACAUGGCUGCUCCAACACCGCCAAGCCCUUCCCGACCCAGGAGCCCCUGGGGCAGGCUUGAUCCCUAUGAUUCGGACGAGGAUGACAAAGAAUAUGUAGGGUUUGCGACACUUCCCAAUCAAGUUCACCGGAAGUCUGUGAAAAAAGGCUUUGAUUUCACACUCAUGGUUGCAGGAGAGGCUGGGCUGGGGAAAUCUACGCUGGUGAACAGCCUCUUUCUCACUGACCUCUACAAGGACCGCAAACUUCUGAAUGCAGAAGAACGGAUCCUGCAGACGGUGGAAAUCACGAAGCAUGUGGUGGACAUUGAGGAGAAAGGAGUGAAGCUCCGCCUUACCAUUGUAGACACACCGGGCUUUGGGGACGCCGUCAACAACACAGAGUGCUGGAAACCUGUGGCCGACUACAUAGAUCAGCAGUUUGAACAGUACUUCCGGGAUGAAAGUGGCCUGAACCGGAAGAACAUCCAGGACAAUCGCGUCCACUGCUGCCUCUACUUCAUUUCGCCCUUUGGACAUGGGCUGCGGCCCCUGGAUGUCGAAUUCAUGAAAGCUCUCCAUCAGCGCGUGAACAUCGUUCCGGUCCUGGCCAAAGCUGACACUCUGACUCCCUGUGAGGUGGAACGGAUGAAAAACAAGAUCCGUGAUGAGAUCGAGCAAUUCGGAAUCCGGAUCUACCAGUUCCCUGACUGUGAUUCAGAUGAAGAUGACGAUUUUAAGAUGCAGGAUCAGGCCCUUAAGGAGUGCAUCCCUUUUGCUGUGAUUGGCAGUAACACAGUGGUGGAGGCCAAAGGCAGACGGGUCCGUGGAAGGCUGUACCCGUGGGGCAUCGUGGAAGUGGAGAACCCUGACCACUGCGACUUCAUCAAGCUGCGCACCAUGCUGGUGAGGACCCACAUGCAAGACCUAAAGGAUGUGACGCGGGAAACGCAUUAUGAAAACUACCGGGCGCAGUGCAUCCAGAGCAUGACCCGCAUGGUGGUGAAGGAGCGGAACCGCAAGCAUGAGCAGGAGAGGCGGUCAGUGUUAUCUUAAAGAAUCCUCAGCUGGGGUGUGAGGGGGCGCAGGAGAGUGCUGCAGUUUGCAACGGAGAUCCUUCUGGAGGAAGGACAGACUCCUCCGCUCUGAGACUCUGCUGCAGCGACUGCUCUACGGAGUGAGCCAACGAGGUCCCCUCCUGGGCAGCAUCGCUCGUUCUGGGCGCUAGGACCGCACUGGGCUCAGAGCCUCUGAGGAUUCACGUCAGCCCCUACCCCACCCCUGAUGCCAGGCCGGGGCACUUCCCAACGUCUUCCCAAAGUGGUGUCUGUCUGG